AUAUAUAUAUAUAUAUAUCAGGCCCUGCUAUAACGUAAUUGGCCUAUAUCGUUACCAAUAUGGAGUAUUAACAAAUUCAACAUGAUUACACAUUAUUGAUAUUAACUACACUGGACAUGGGUCCUUUAGAUGCAGAUUUAGAUUUCUGUUUUCUGUUGAGGCUUUAUUUUCUUAGUUCUUAUCUUUGAUACAUGAUCUUAACUGUGAUAUUAACUCAACUCUGCGUAUUCAUCAGCCUUCAGUCCAAAUAAUGUCUCCCCGUUUCAGGCCGCAGGGUUGUGGUCACGGCAAACGGGUCAUGUCCCCGUUGUUAUUAAACUUAAAUAUAUGAUAAAACAUUUUUGGUGCGUUAAAAUCAUUUUCCAGAGAACGUGCCCAUCGUAUUCAAAAAGGACCCUCCCGAUUUAUGUAAAAGAUAGACAGGAACACGGGGCAGGAUGUUUAUACAGCAAAACGUAAACAUUUUCCCUGGCCUUCUUUAAAUAAAAAAUCAAGCAAAAGCCCCGUUAGAUCAUCUAAUACUCAAUCUGACGCGAUAUGUCCGACUGUUCGCAGCGACUCCAUACAGGACAUUUUUACGCACGAAUAUUGUUUGUGUAGUGCAGUCAUAAUAUUUACGCAGGGACGCAGGAGGAGUGAACACCGGACUGCCGAACUGGGAGCACAGAAACUCGGACCGUGUCUUGAGAUCGACUCCUGCGGGCGUUUUCACCAUCGAAAGAUCCGAGGAAAUAAAAAUUGGGGCCUGAAAGGAAGUGGCUAUCCCUCCCUUCCACCGACUACCCUGCAAUAAACCAGGGCUUAAGAGGGGCAGCAUGCUGAUCGGGACCUCCACGUCCCAUUUGAUAAAACGUCAAUCGGCCUAACGGACAAGUCGGCAGUCGUUUAUAAACAAGGUUUCAUAACUUAGAAAUCAAUUUGCCACAAGAUGAAACGGAGUGAAGGUAAUUAAUGCCACGCAAUUGAAUCCGAUGUUAUCCCCUCCAUCUUGUCUCCAACCAUCACUCUUUUUCUUGUCCUGUCUGGGGGAAAAGCGAUAACAGGCUCAUCACGACUGCAUUCUUUCCAUUUUGGUGAAGAGCAGCGUGGCACAGAAGGUAAUCUAUCAUCCAAAUUGUCUGUCGUCCUCGCUCCCUCUUUCUCACUGUGUUUCUCUUUCUCCUUCCUCUAGGCUGGAGUGGGCAGGCGUGCGGCUUUGGCCACAGGAAGCUGUGAAUUCUUUGGAGAAUGGAAGAUGUCUUAUGGGGAGACAUACUGGCCCCCCACCUACCCACUCACCACCUCAAAAUGACCCCUGACCUCUUCUCGUGUUUAUAUCAGACCAUGGAAGUGAGAAAUAGUGAUGAGUCACUCUGGCUGUGUGUUUAUACUCCAGAGUCACGCAAGGAAGGAAAUCAGCCACGGUCUGCUAAAAGUGGCGAGGUGACAGAGAAUAGCUGCAGUCGCUGAGCGCUGCAGUGAUUUACCUCUCUCAACCCGAACUUACUUCACAUCAUCUCUGCUGCGAAGAUUUUCGACCAACAGGAAACGGCAGCAUUGGCAGGGCGGUGGACCGUUGUCAAGGAAGAGGCAACUCUGAUGGCAGCAAAAUAAGUGGUAGUUAGUGAGGAUGAAUAUGCAUCCACAGUGUGUGAGAGCAUCUGGUCCAGCCUUCCCAUGUAAUACACAUUAUUAAAACUGAUAAAACAUUUAAUAGGCAGGAUAAUUAGUCGAGACAAUUAUUCGUAAAUUGAAUUUUGGACAAUCUUAAUAUAUUGAUACAUGCUUUCUAAUCAAGGCAGGGAAAACACCCAUGUCACGUAUAGACAAUGAGAUGUGUUUCAUCCUACAUUUAAAAAAAAUACAAAAACAGUUUUCUGCUUGGCGACUGUACAUUUCACUGCUGAACUCAUCUUCAGAAUGUUUCUCAGCUACAGGGAGAGGAUCUAACGGCGUCAUUUAAAUGAAAAUGAAGAUGAAUAGGAGUCACACGGUUUUCACCAAGCAGCAAGGAUGCUGCAUGUCAUUCUUACUUUGCUUUGAUAAAUAUAGAAAACAGGUUCUGCAGUGAUAGAAUAUAGUGUCCAACAAAAAGGUGUAUUUAUUUUAUCACCAUUAAAGUACUAUAUUCAAAUCAAGAUUUAAAAUACAGCAAUCAUUUGAAUCACAUUUACAAUUCAAAUUACGACUGAUGAUCUCAACAGUAGCUAAAUAAAAAUAUCUUAUAAUACAAGCUGAAACAUUUUAUAUUAGAAUUGUGAUAAAAAUAUUUUAUAACAUUUUUUAAAUCAAAAUACCAAACACAUACAUCCCAUAUGUUGAUACCCCAAAAUUACAGUAAAGUAAGGUAAUUAAAGUCUUGGGCUACAAGCUCGACUGAGAUCAUAUUACAGACACAUGCUUUGAUCUCAUAAACUGUCUUGAUAUUGAAUUUUCAGCAUCUUUAUUUUAUACAUGAUGCAACACUCUGUACAAUGGUUUACAUUGACAAUAACAGAUAUGCCUUAUUAUGGUCUUAAAGAUAGAAUAUCAUAAUGAGAAUGUACUCACUGUGUUAUAAAUUGUGUUGUGUAUCAUAUGUGAGUGACUGUUCUUACACUGUCUUUGCUGCAUGAACUGUACUGGACACGUAUUGCGUUGUGCUGCAGGACUUUAUGUUCUAUGUCCUGUAAGGUGUGUUUACUGUGGUUUCCACCAGUGUUUCAAACACAGUGUCGUCGUCGUCGUCGUCCUCCUCCUCCUCCUCCUCGUCCUCCUCCUCGUCCUCCUCCUCCUUCUUCCCCCGCGAGCAACUCUCAGAUUGCACAACUGUUGUUUUCGAGAGACAGCUUGCAGUUAUACGCUCUGUAAAUAAAAAGUGACACUUUAUUUCUUCCCGUCAUUACGCUGGUGCGAGUAACUUCAUUGCUGACUGCAGAGCGUAUCCUGUUACACACCCCCGUACACACCGCCACAAUGAGAGAGACAGCAGCUCUUAUUUUGGCUGAUCUCUCCUGAAUUGUAAGUCCUGUCAGAGGCUUUGAUUGAUAGUUGUGUUUAUCACCAUAUUAUUAAGUAAUCAGGCUCACCACAGCCGGGCCUGCAGCUCCUUAAUUCCAGCUAAAGCACACAGCUUCGAGCUAAUUAAAGGUUUGGUGAAAGUGUUUAUUUUUGUGAAUUUUUAAAAUAUAGUUGUCUGCAUUUUUAUGAGAGCGUGCUGAUUUUUUGCAUUUGUAUCCUCUCUGGAAAAUUUACCAGCAACCUUUAGUGUUGUGUCUUCAUCAAAAGGAUCGCGGAGGGAGAAAAGCUUGCCUUUCAGGAACGAGCUGUUUUACAUUACUGUAAAACCUGCAAAAAUGACAAACAACGAGCAUACGGCGCAUGCAGAGUAUAAAAUGAAUCGCGUCUACGUUCAGUGUAUCAGUAGAGGUUUUCUUCUCGCUUCGUUAAUAGAGCCUGCGGCAGGCUGCAUUUGUGUAUCGCUGAGGUAAACACAGUCAUGGCAAAGUGGACAUGCUGCUAAGUGUGUCCUGACUGGAGACAGAGAGCACUGUGGCACUGUACCGACGGAGACACUGGCAGCUCUCUAGAGGUACGGGUCCAUGUGAUGAAUGGCCAUUUGGUAAUGGGCCAUGUACUGUAUUAGGGUGAAAUAGCUCUUUUAAAAGCCCGAGCUCGAGCCGUAGCUAUGGGCAAUUUGAUUCAGGAAUCAGUCAGGUGGCAGGUGUUUCAUGUUGGCCCGGUCAACUUUGUCCUUCUCCCCCUUUUAACUAAAUGAAGGGAAAAAAUAUAUAUAUUAUAAAACUGCACAUAGCAGUAAGAAGUUUCAGCGAGAGGCCUUUUUGUUUGAAGGCAGUCCAAAAUGUAGGAACUGUAUAAAUAGACAGGUUGUGAAUUGAUCACGUGUUUUUCUUUAUGUUCUUUCCUAUGCCAACAGCACUGUGCAUGCAGCGCUCAUUAUUAUAAAUGUACGCAAGCUAGAGUAGCUAAUAUAAUAAUUCAAAUACCCCAUGUUGUGCAUCUUGUACAUACAGAUUUAGGAAUCUCUAACCACAAAGAGACUAACAACCUUACUGUAUAUUUCAUACACCAUAAAAAUAUUGGAUGUACUAAUGUAACUAGGGGAUAUGUUUUGUGCAAUAAAUGGCUUGCAUAUUUUCCGUUACUGUGAUACUUUAUGGCAAACAUAACAAACAAGUUAAAUACCUUCAUUUUUUUUCUCCAUUAUUUUGGAUAAAUUAUCAUUUUGGAUUCCCUGUUUGUUGUCACAUUUUUAUCAAUAAAUUCCCACUCAAACUUGGGACUGUUGUCGGAACAUUUACCCACACUUCCUCUGAUGUACUGAUUACUAUGCUGCAUUCGCUCACAAUUCAGAAAUGACUCUGCGGCUCUGAGAUUCUAAAGACUUUUUUUUGUCUAAAAAUGAACAUUAAACUAAACAAGCAGAUGAACAAAAUAAUACAAUUCAUGGGAAAUGAAACAUUUUUUUUUAUGUAAUCCAAAUCCUGCAUAAAAAUUCCUUUACGCACGUCACCACUUUAUCAUGGUCAUAUUUAACAUCUUGAAUAUGUCAAAGAACAAGAUUAUAGUGAAGAAGCACUUAAGGAAUUUAUUACGAGUUCUGUGUUUUUCUGUGGUGGUGAGCAGGCUCAUAAAAUAAACUCUGCCAUAAACAAAUGCAGCGGUGUUGGUGGUCCUGCUGUUUACUUGAUUGCUAUUAGUUUUCUCCCACGGGUUAUGGAUCACACUGGCCAUUUUCAUAAAUACGUAGAUGCUGCUGCUGAAUGAUGCUGCACUUUAUCAAUAGUGGCCACUAUGUGUGAUAUAUAUCUUAAAUGACAGCGUUAUCUCUGUUUGACCUCAGACCUCCGCUUGGCUAACAGUGGAUUCACAUUGGUUUAUCAGUGGUUCUGAAAAGGUCGUGUGAACCACACGAGGAGCUCAAACAUCCUCAUAAAAAAAUGUGAAAUGUGAAAUUUCCCAUCUAGAAAAAGGAGUAAUGAUCUGUGAGUGCUUGUGUGUGUGUGUUUACACUGUUUUCUCUUAUGGAAGAUUAUUGUUUGUUUUUUACUAAAUGGAAAAAAAUAAAAGUCAAUGAUGCAAAACAG